GACGAACGCUGGCGGCGUGCUUAACACAUGCAAGUCGAACGGAAAGGCCCUGCGCUUGUGGGGUGCUCGAGUGGCGAACGGGUGAGUAACACGUGAGUAACCUGCCCUUGACUUUGGGAUAACUUCAGGAAACUGGGGCUAAUACCGGAUAGGAGCUCCUGCUGCAUGGGGGGGGUUGGAAAGUUUCGGCGGUUGGGGAUGGACUCGCGGCUUAUCAGCUUGUUGGUGGGGUAGGGGCUUACCAAGGCUUUGACGGGUAGCCGGCCUGAGAGGGUGACCGGCCACCUUGGGACUGCGAUACGGCCCAGACUCCUACCGGCGGCAGCAGUGGGGAAUAUUGCACAAUGGGCGGAAGCCUGAUGCAGCAACGCCGCGUGCGGGAUGCCGGCCUUCGGGUUGUAAACCGCUUUCGCCUGUGACGAAGCGUGAGUGACGGUAAUGGGUAAAGAAGCACCGGCUAACUACGUG
rnacentral:rRNA from 1 species